GGGCUACACACGUGCUACAAUGGUUGGUACAACGAGUUGCGAGUCGGUGACGGCGAGCUAAUCUCUUAAAGCCAAUCUCAGUUCGGAUUGUAGGCUGCAACUCGCCUACAUGAAGUCGGAAUCGCUAGUAAUCGCGGAUCAGCACGCCGCGGUGAAUACGUUCCCGGGCCUU
rnacentral:rRNA from 1 species